AACAUGCAAACUCCACACAGAGAUGGACGAGGGUGGAAUUGGGGUCUCCUAGCUGUGAGGCUUGCAUGCUAACCACUCGGUCGCAGUGCCGCCUAAAAGGGGACCUAUUAUACAAAUUUUCGGACUUAGACACAAUAGUCCGCACAGAAAGCUUUCUAGAUCUUCCAGACUCUGCACCUCUUCCAGCAGUGUUUCCUUGAAUUUCCUGCCUCCCACCCACCCAGAUUCAUCGUGCUGCUGAAAGAAUUGUUUGUCACUAAACUGGAUGGUUGGGAGGAGUUGCUCUCAGAGAAGGUUGUAGUACCAGUCGUUACCCAUGGCUGUGCUCUUUGGCAAAACAGUGAGUGAGUCUCAGAAAAAGCAACCAGGCCUGCUGACUGACCUCCGCUGAGGAUGUAGUUGGACGGUGGAAGGAAUUCUUUGAGGCCCUUCUCAAUCUCACUGACAUACCUUCCAUGGAGCAAGCAGAGUCCGAGGAUACGUAUGCAAAACAGUUCCAGGGAUUAUGUCUCACAGCUGGCCCCAGGAACGCCUCGGUGGCCGGGGACCAGGAAGUCUGGGCUUCCUUACUGAGAUUGCUGCCCCUGCAAGCCGGAUAAGCGGAGGAAAAUGUAAAUGUAAAUGUAAAGAACAAGGGAUUGGUUUUAUAAAUAGCAAGUAAUUUGGGCUUCAUGUGGAUGUUUGCUAUGUUUACUAUGAUUUCAACGUGUCCAUGAAUGCAGCGGCACCGAUAAAAAUCUUUUAAAUCUCUUAAUGCACAAAUAAUCAUUCAAACGUACUUAUUUUAUGAUAUGAUGCACACUGAGCAAUAAACAAUUUGACACUCUGUCUCCUUCCUGCUCUGAUAUCCAUUUGACUGUGCUGUACUCCCAUAGUCCGUGUUGCCACCUUUGCGACUUUUUCGCUACAUCUGGCGACAUGUUUUCGCAAAAGCGACUAGCGACAAAUCUGGCGACUUCUUCUGGUGUUGUUGCGGAAUUAUCUGGUAUUUGGCGAAUUCAAGUAAAAACACGUAUUGUACUACAGUUUCUGUUCUCACUGAGCAGCAGCAGGUGCUGGUGAGAGGUGAGGUACCCCGCCAACCCCCCAAACCGGUCACAAGUCAUCAGUGCCCUAUCAGCAUCCGCAGCACGCAGAGAGCAUAGCAUAGUGGAGCGCUAAGCAGCCAUGAAAUUCCGCCGGUCUGGAUCUUUCCCUGUUUUACAGAGCAGGAUCUAAAUCGUAAAUGUUUCUUAAUCUUAAUUAAAUUACUACUCAUAAAACUAAAAAAAAAUCCUGAUGCCAAACAAGCAUCUUGUUGAGUCUUUCUGGUGAAAUUGAGUGCUCAGUAUCCACUUUUCUGUCUGUGAAUGACACUGAGACUAGCAAUUAGCAAGGCGUCAUGUUAGCUAGCUAUUAUCAAUGCGCAGAAAUCGCAGAAAGAAGUUUCGUUAAUGUUUUAAAUAGUCAAAAUAUGGCAAGAUACUGCAACUAUUACAUGUUAUCAUUAGAUUCAUAACCAAAAUAGGUGUAUCCCAAUGACAGUAUUGUAAGCUAGCUGAUAUUAACUUGUUUCUUUGUGUUAUAAUGCACAGAAAAGGGUAAGAAACAUGUGUUCAUGUUUCACAUAAGCAUUGUGAAUACUUAUUUAGGAUUGUUUUACACAUGUAAAAUUCUAAUAACUACAAAAACUUGUUUUGUUACAGGUUUUGAGAGCCAACCACUGUUGACAUCGUAUAGCGGGGUGAUGUAACGUCUGAUUCCGCUUGCCAUUUUGUUUGCUAGCUUACAGUAUGUCAACAAGGAAGGAUGUUUACUGAUUUAAAAAAUAUAUAUUGAGAAAAGAGGUGGACUCACGCAGAUCAGGAUCUAAAACGUAAAUGUUUCUUAAUCUUAAUGAAAUUACUACUCAUAAAACUCAUUAUUCAGACUCUGUCACUUACCUGUCAGUGUGUCUGAACGGGAUAGGAGAACAUUGUGUGAUAAAUUAAACAAGUAGGCUUAACCGCAAGUUAGAAGAUGGAGGCUGGCGGCUAGUCUGAAUUACGCUGUGGAGACUGAGUGGCGCUAGCCGAGCUAAAAUACUUACAACAACACUUACGAUGCUCGCUCUCAUUGGGAUGGCUUUGUCUUCCAGUCCUCCGGUAAAAAAAUCCUGACGCCAAACGAGCAUCUUGUUGAGUCUUUGUGGCGAAAUUGAGUGCUCGAUAUCCACUUUUCUAUCUGUGAAUGACGCUGAGACUAGCGAUUAGCGAGGUUGUCGUGUUAGCUAGCUAGUAUCAAUGCGCAGAGAAAAGAAGUUUCGGUAGUGUUUUAAAUAGUCAAAAUAUGGCCAGAUACUGCAACUAUUACAUGUUAUCAUUAGAUUAUGCCGCAAAUAGUCACUUUUCUUACAACUUUUCUUAUAACCAAAAUAGGUGUAUCCCAAUGACAGCAUUGUAAGCUAGCUGAUAUUAACUCGUUUGCGACUAGCGAGGUUGUCGUGUUAGCUAGCUAGUAUCAAUGCGCAGAGAAAAUAAGUUUUGGUAGUGUUUUAAAUAGUCAAAAUAUGGCCAGAUACUGCAACUAUUACAUGUUAUCAUUAGAUUAUGCCGCAAAUAGUCACUUUUCUUACAACUUUUCUUAUAACCAAAAUAGGUGUAUCCCAAUGACAGCAUUGUAAGCUAGCUGUUAUUAACUCGUUUCCUUGUGUUAUAAUGCACAGAAAAAGGUAAGAAAAAUGUGUUCAUGUUUCACAUUAGCAUUGUGAAAGCUUAUUUAGGAUUGUUUUACACAUGUAAAAUUAUAAUACCUACAAAAACUUGUUUUGUUACAGGUUUUGAGAGUAACUUCUGAUUUUGUUUGCUAGCUUAUAGUAUGUCAACAAGGAAGGAUGUUUUCUGAUUUCAAAAAUAUAUAUUAAGAAAAGAAGUGGACUCACGCAGUGUAUUAAUAACAUGACAAGAUAUGCGCCUUAUUGUACGCUAACUGGAAAAAGAACACACACCGAGGCAACAAAAUAGCGGGGUACAUUUUUGACAUUAGCCAAAAAACACACUGAGGCAGACACUCCCAGAGAUUCCACUGUACUUAAAAAUACCUGUGUAGUUAAUUGUAAAGGUUUCAUGACAUUAACCCUUUAUUCUCAUUCUUCCAGGUCAUUGUAUUCUCAGGGCAUUCAAUCGAUCGCAACAGGACUCGACAAACAAAUUAAAGCGUUAUACAGCAAGAUGAAAACAAAUGUAAACAACACUGCAGGUCACUGCCUGCAGCUCCUCCCAUGCAGCCCAAGGACCCCGGAGCCAAUCUCUCAUGCAGGCCACACCGCAGCGAGCACUUCAAAGUCAUGUUCCUCUUGUAGCCUCCAGCUGCUGACAUGCGGCUCUGCUGUGACCGAUAAAAUUUGACAAUUUGUAGCAAAGCCCAAUCAUGACCUUCGCCAUGCUGCGACCGGUGUCCGCGCACUUCUAUUCCGACCUCAGCAUCACGUCCGAGGAUGACGAGAACCGCAGCGAGAGCGACGACGGUUCGGACCGGCUCUGCUGCGGUGCUGCUGCCGGGAAACGCGGGAGGAUGGCGCGCAAAGUGGAGGGCGAAUCCGUUGCGGUUGUGAUGAAGCAGCGGAGCGCCGCCAACGCCAGGGAACGCGGCCGGACUCAGAGUGUCAACACCGCCUUCACGGCACUAAGGACCCUCAUCCCUACCGAGCCGGUGGACAGAAAGCUGUCCAAGAUCGAGACCCUGCGCUUGGCUUCCAGUUACAUUUCCCACCUGGCCAAUGUACUUCUUCUCGGGGACGGCUGCGAGGAUGGACAGCCGUGCCUGGAUGUGGUGCAUGCUCAGGCUGCAGAGAAGGGAAGCAAGCAGCCGAGGACCAUCUGCACUUUCUGCUUGAGCAACCAGAGAAAAGGGGAUGCCGGUGACUGUUUGAAGAUGCGCAGACUGGGCCCACUGCGACUUCGACGCUGACCAAAAAACCACCAAUGGAGGAUUAAGAACCCGAAAAAAAAAAAAAAAACCCUCAAAAGACUUUCUCAGGGAAGACUCAGACCUGUUGUUAGAGCACACAUACAUGCUGGAUCCCGCGGUGGAGCCAAAACAAUAUUUAUAUACGUGACCGAGAAAUGGCCCCCCUCAAAUGGCUCCCCGAGGCUCCCCCCCCCACCCGACAGGAAGAUGUCACAGAGGCACAGGAAGGGAAAACAACGUGCAGCCGACCUCUCUGAG